CACAACAACAAAAAUUGUAACAAAAACUUAGGGAUUUCAGAAAAUUCCCUUUUUGCUCUCCCGUCUCUCUUCUUUCACUUAAUCCCUAUCUCGAUCUCUUCUUUCAAUCUCAAUAUAUUCAUCUCUCUGUUUCGAUCGCUCUUCUCUCUUCUCCCAGUCUCGACCGCCGGCAAGACAACGACAACCCAUGAGAGGAAAUCUCAGCCUGCGUAAGAACGCCCCGAUGGAUCUGUUUGAUAGUGACGAUGAUACAAAGUACAGAUUCGGAACUAAGAUUCAUUUUCCUAUAUGAAAGUUUGGGAAUUUAUCAGGGACUCUAAGAGAUGAAGCCGUCUUCCCAAACGUUAUUAAGAUACUUAACGAGGCAGUUGUAGUGGUGCUCGGCUCAUUGCAAGAAGUUUGUCCUCAUCGAGCCAGGAUAUGGCGGAUGCAUAACCGAUAAUCCGAUAUCAUAACAGUCUUCGGAAGGAUAUAUCACACCGUCCUCUACAACGCCAAGGAAUUCAGAAACGCAACAGUAAACAGCGACCUGCACUUAAAUUUGAAGGAAGUAUCUUUGUAUAUUUAUGCAAAGUUUAUACUACAAGGCUACAAGCAGUUUGCGACCAUAUCUCAACUUUAAAUUGUAGUAUCUUUGAUAAUUC